rnacentral:rRNA from 1 species
GACGUAGGGCGCGAGCGUUGUCCGGAUUUAUUGGCGUAAAGAGCUCGUAGGCGGCUUGUUGCGUCAGCUGUGAAAACCCGACGCUCAACUGUGGGCUUGCAGCUGAUACGGGCAGGCUUGAGUUCGGUAGGGGAGACUGGAAUUCCUGGUGUAGCGGUGAAAUGCGCAGAUAUCGGGAGGAACACCGAUGGCGAAGGCAGCACUCUGGGCCGGCACUGACGCGUGAGGAGCGAAAGCG